UAGUGAUUUUUUUUUAUGGUGGAUUUCUUUUUCUUCUUCGUUGAAAAUCUUUUUCAAGGAUUUCAACCUUUCCUCUUUAUAGAUCAUGCACAUGCACCAAAAAGAUCAAAAAUCUUUCUUGUUCCUUUCUUGAUUUUCUUCCCAAGAAAAUCUAGUGCUGUCUUUCUCUCUUUCCUCUUUCUCUUUCCCUCUCCCAAGAACUCUUCUUGGGCGUCAGCCUUCUCAAGGUUCUUUCCUUCUUCGAGGUCCAAUCCUUGGAUGUUAGAACACCCUCGCAUAGAAAAAGCUAGGACGUCCAACACUUGGGCAUACAAAAGAGAAGUAGAUGGGGCGUGAGGGCUUAGGACAUCCAACACUUUGGACAUAUAAGAGACAGGGAGUUAGGGCAUGAAUUAAUUGGAGUUAAGGAUUAUAAGCCCUUUUAUACCUCUAAGGUUAGUUAGGGUGAUGCCCCUCUUUCAUAUGAACAUCUUCACAUGAAAUUUCCUUGAGGUGC
rnacentral:lncRNA from 1 species